UGUAUGUGUUCCAAUGUUUAGUCGGC
rnacentral:piRNA from 1 species